CCCUUAGACGUUCUGGGCCGCACGCGCGCUACACUGGCCAGUGCAACAAGCAUCCGUCCUUGGCCGACAGGCCCGGGCAAUCUUUGAACGCUGGUCGUGAUGGGGAUAGACUUUUGCAAUUUUUGGUCUUCAACGAGGAAUUCCUAGUAAACGCAAGUCAUCAACUUGCAUUGAUUACGUCCCUGCCCUUUGUACACACCGCCCGUCGCACCUACCGAUUGAAUGGUCCGGUGAAGCCUCCGGAUUGGCGCGCACCUCGGUGCCGCCGAGAAGUUGGCUAAACCUUACCAUUUAGAGGAAGGUGAANUCGUANCA
rnacentral:rRNA from 1 species